rnacentral:rRNA from 1 species
AAUCAACGCUGGCGGCGUGCCUCAGACAUGCAAGUCGAACGCGAAAGUCCCCUUCGGGGAGUGAGUAGAGUGGCGCACGGGUGAGUAACACGUAGGUAAUCUACCUUCGGAUGGGGAAGUAACAACCGGAAACGGUUGCUAAUACCGCAUAAUGCAGCGGCACCUAAUGGUGGACAGUUGUUAAAGCGGGGGAGUCGAAAGACCUCGCGUCUGAAGAGGAGCCUGCGGCGGAUUAGCUAGNGGUUAAGGUAAUGGCUUACCAAGGCGACGAUCCGUAACCGGCCUGAGAGGGCGGUCGGUCACACUGACACUGACAUACGGGUCAGACUCCUAC